rnacentral:misc_RNA from 1 species
AACGCAAAUGGCGCUUCCUGGCAUCCCGGGAAGCAUGCCUGUUUGAGAACCGUAGAUAGCCAAAACUCACCAGGGUGUGUGCGCGAAUCAUCCAGCCCCGGACGAUUUUUGCCCCCCCACUCUGGUGGUGAUGGGUCACUGGCGGGGAGAGGGGGCGCACUCCUUUCGCUGUCCGUGACCUGCAAUCCUUUGUCCCCGGAAGUCGACGGACCCGGAUUCCCAAGUCAGAUUGUUUUCUGGGGAAGAUCCGGCCGUGUCCUUCCCCGGGGUCCCCCAACCCCCCUCAAAAAAACAACUUGGUCUCAAAUCAGGCAAGAGAACCCGCUGAACUUAA